UGGUUUAGCAAGUAUAUCAAAGUUUCCUUAAUAUAUAUUGGAACUAGAGGUAGUAGAGACUUUGAAAGGCGCUAGCCUCUCUUUGAUCGGUACAGGUGUAUUAUACUUCCAGUUUCACUGGGUCAAUUUCAUCCAAGAUUAUAGUUAAUGUCGUGCUGAAAACUCACGCCAGUGAUUGGUCUUCUCUUGCAUCUGUUUUUUAUAUAUAUGUACUGCCUUCUUUUGCUCCGAAUGGGUGUCUUAUCCUUAAGACCGGCACCUUGGAUUUUAUGGGGACUGAGCCUAAGUUAUUAAAAAGUUCUGAAUCUUAACAGAAGCAAGUAAUUUCGGAAGAAAGUCAUGGGUGUAGCCUCUAUCACUGUGGUCAGAACAAUAGCCAAGAAUGCUAAAAAAAGCGAAGCAUUGCUCCAAACAAGCGCUUCAAGUAAAAAUUAACUUUAAAAUGCAUGGCUGUAACCACCCCGAUCUACGAGACAACGUGCUCCGGAGAAGUUCAAGCCCUGAUACGCAUGGCGAGUCAACCUAAGGAAUCAAUCCACCAACUUAAGGAUUCUUUCAGCUCUAUACAGAUUGGGGUUUCCGCCAAAAAUAAAACUUAACAUUAAUCGCGAUAAUUUUUUGGUUCGAAACAAUUUUAUCAUCUGAAUUGGAUCUUCAUUAACUAAAGAUUGAAUUUCAACAUGCGUCAAGAUGCU